ACGCUGGCGGCGUGGAUUAGGCAUGCAAGUCGAACGAUUCUUUAAGAGGGGGACAGUGGCAAACGGGUGAGUAACACGUGGGUAAUUUGCCUUUAGGUUCGGAAUAACUUGCCGAAAGCAAGCUAAUACCGGAUAAGACCACAUCUUCUAAGGAGAUGAGGUUAAAGGCGGGGACCAGAAAAGGACCUGUCACCUAUAGAUAAGCCCGCGUCCUAUCAGCUUGUUGGUGAGGUAAAGGCUUACCAAGGCUAAGACGGGUAGCUGGUCUGAGAGGAUGGUCAGCCACACUGGGACUGAGACACUGCCCAGACUCCUACGGGAGGCUGCAGUCGAGAAUCUUUUGCAAUGCCCGAAAGGGUGACAAUGCGACGCCGCGUGAGCGAUGAAGGCCUUCGGGUUGUAAAGCUCUGUCAGCCCGGAUGAACUCUCGUCCAAUAAGACAAGAACCUGACGGUACGAGCAGAGGAAGCCACGGCUAACUCCGUGCCAGCAGCCGCGGUAAUACGGAGGUAGCAAGCGUUGUUCGGAUUUACUGGGUGUAAAGGUCAUGUAGGCGUCUUAUUAAGUCGGGUGUGAAAUCCCUUGGCUCAACCAAGGAACUGCACUCGAUACUGGUAAGAUUGAGUACGGGAGAGGAAAGCGGAAUUCCGGAAGUAAGGGUGAAAUCUGUAGAUAUCCGGAAGAACACCAUUAGCGAAGGCGGCUUUCUGGUCCGAUACUGACGCUGAAAUAAGAAAGCUAGGGGAGCAAACAGGAUUAGAUACCCUGGUAGUCCUAGCAGUAAACGAUGGGCACUAGGUGCAGGCCCUUCAGGGUCUGUGUCGAAGCUAACGCGUUAAGUGCCCCACCUGGGGACUACGGCCGCAAGGCUAAAACUCAAAGGAAUUGACGGGGACCCGCACAAGCGAUGGAGCAUGUGGUUUAAUACGACGCUACGCGAGGAACCUUACCAGGACUUGACAUGUAAAAGUAGGAACCUGAAAGGGGGACGACCCGUUAAAUCAGGAGCCACACAGGUGCCGCAUGGCUGUCGUCAGCUCGUGUCGUGAGAUGUUGGGUUAAGUCCCGC
rnacentral:rRNA from 1 species